UAGUGACGAUCUACAAUGAACAUUUAAUUUCCACAGAAAGACGUAAGAUGUUGAAUUUAUUAUUAUCAUUUUUUUGCGUUAUAUGCUUUUAUGGGAUGCAUUUCCACAACGUAAUUAAAUCAGAGUACGGCCCUUACUAUGGACAUGACUGUGUUAAACUUAUAAAUGAAUUGGCCCAGAAGUUUCCCGAAUACCGUUUUGAAACUCCCUCGGACUGGAUUCUAAUAUUGCCGAUCGGAGGGUUGAUCUUUGCUUGCUGGAUAUACGGCUUCAACGGGAUCCUAAGAUUAUUUUGGAAACUUUACAAUCAAUCGGCGAAGCUAUGCUCAUUGAUUCUUACAGUUGUGGCGGCUUUAUUAUUUCUUAUUUAUUGGCGGAUUUCGAAAUUUGGAGUCUUUGAAGUAACUCUGGAGGGGCACACUAUUUAUUCGACGAAAAAUGGUCAGCUUCCCCAAAUUUUUGAGCUGUCCGACAUCAUUCAAAGGAAAGCCCCCGGAAUAAAACUCAUAAACUAUUUUUUGGUAUUCCUUUUAACGCUGAUCGUACGUGUAGUGAUCAUUGAAAGCAAUAGAACACCUCCAAUCAGACGUCGAUAGUUUUGUAUAUUUUGGCUGGCAUUAAAAUUGGAUUUGUGACAACUGUCUUGAAUAAAAUAAAAAUCAUUUUGUAUAUCUCCGA